UACGUAGGGUGCAAGCGUUGUCCGGAAUUAUUGGGCGUAAAGAGCGUGUAGGCGGCCCGACCAGUCCGCUGUGAAAGUCCAGGGCUCAACCCUGGAAUGCCGGUGGAUACUGUCGGGCUAGAGUCCGGAAUGGGCGAGUGGGAUUCCUGGUGUAGCGGUGAAAUGCGCAGAUAUCAGGAGGAACACCAAUGGCGAAGGCAGCUCGCUGGGACGUGACUGACGCUGAGACGCGAAAGCGUGGGGAGCAAACAGG
rnacentral:rRNA from 1 species